rnacentral:tRNA from 1 species
GCCGGUGUGACGGAAUGGCAGACGUAGCGGACUCAAAAUCCGUUGGUAGCGAUACCGUGUCGGUUCAAGUCCGACCACCGGCACCA